CAAGACUUUAUAAAUUCAAUUCGUAUAAAUGUAUUAAUUUAUAAAUUCUAUAAAAAUUUUACUUGAAUAGUUAAAUGUUUUACAAAUUCACUAAAAUAUCAAGUGGCCAAAAAUGGUCCUAAGAUGGCCAAAACCGGUACUUCUACCCUAUAUAAUAUCAAAAAAAAA